rnacentral:piRNA from 1 species
UCAAUCCUUUUCCUGUUUUAUCAGCUG